UAGAUGGAAGAUCUUGUGUCAACAUCUCAUUUAUCUCAUUAUUUACGUUCCGAAUUCACAGAACUUUAUUUAAUUCUCAAUUGUUCUGUCCUCAACAGGAGAUUCUUGAACUAAAUAAUCAUUCAAUACAAUCACAAAGCAAGACAGAGGUCAAAGCUGCAGCCCACCAGACUUUUCCCCACUGGAUCUCUGAGGACCUGCUCUUCAACAAAAACCUGUGACCAAAAUAAAAUAUUGUAAUGGUGUUGGCAGCUGUUGUAAUUGUGAGUGCGUGCAGUCAAGUGUCAUGUAGGUGGAGGGCUGAGUGCUCCCAGGGACUCAUUGUUACGGCAAUGUAAACAUUCGGGGCAGCUGCGGCGGGGUCCCAUUGGUCAGCUUCCUCUCUACUCUCCGUUCAGCACACACACUCUUCCUGUCAGGCAUGCAAGGUCAUCACUUAGCUAAAUUUAGUGCCAUUAGACUUGGCUUAUGGUCCUUUACAGCCGUGGCCUAUAAAGGGUGGUGAGCUGCCUUUAAACCAGAUCAAACCAAACAGAGUCUCAGACACAACCUCCGGACAACAAUCAGCACUGCGAUCCUACAAGCUUGUCCUACAGGAUGAAACCCAGGAGAUUACUCUUGUCUGUGCCUCCUCUACCGACAAUAACAGAGUCGCACGAGGACCUCUCGCAGUCCCUGGAAGAAUACACAAACUCCAUCAAGGAACUUGCCCAGCCUGCUUGUGGCCCUUUGAGGAUAUCUAGGACUCAGAGGCGUAAGCCCGUGGGGAAGCAUGCUGGUUCUACCUCAACAUCACGCAGCGCUUCCCGGGCUCUGCAGCCCCGCCGCGCUUCCCUGGGUCUGGACGAGGUCACGUUGAGGUUUAACAGUCAGGUGGACCGCGGCACUAAAGACCCACUGGACUGGCUGUUUGCGCAGACGCACUUACACUCACACGGAGAGGAUUUGCGCAGGACUGACAGUGCACCUGCUGCUUUGUGGUUACUCUAAUCAGCCAAAGCAUAACGCCAUAUUGAUGAGAGGAUAACACUGAACGAGUGGUGGAUAAACUCAACAGAGGAUCUCAUGAACCGAACUUCUUAAUUUAUUGUCUGAACAGACUUUUUGUACAAAGAUGCUAAUGUUUACACACUGUUAAAGUCAUGGUUUUCUACGUUGUUUUUUUAAAUAAAAUUUAAGAAUGUUUUUUGA